UACGUAGGGGGCAAGCGUUGUUCGGAUUUAUUGGGCGUAAAGAGCUCGGUAGGCGGUCUGUCACGUCGGCUGUGAAAACUCGGGGCUCAACCCCGAGCCUGCAGUCGAUACGGGCAGACUAGAGUGCUGUAGGGGAGACUGGAAUUCCUGGGUGUAGCGGUGAAAUGCGCAGAUAUCAGGAGGAACACCGGUGGCGAAGGCGGCUCGCUGGGACGGGUAACUGACGCUGGAGACGCGAAAGCGUGGGGAGCAAACAGG
rnacentral:rRNA from 1 species